ACUGUGGAUCCUCCAAAUUCUGCAUCAGACCAGAACGAGACCACAUUCCUCUAAAGUCCAUCAUCUGGUCUCCUCAGGUCCAGACGUUUGGAGACAGAUGUUAAAGAAGAGGAGAUGAUCCAC